CAUGAGUUCAACCCCUGGGUCAGGAAGAUCCCUUGGAGAAGAAAGCGGCAACCGGCUCUAGUGUUCUUGCCUGGAAAGUCCCAUGGAGAGAGGAGCCUGGCAGGCUACAGUCCAUGGGGUUGCAAAGCAGUCAGACACAACUUAGUGACUAAACAGUGAUUCACCUUUACACAGGUUUCCAUGUCCUGGAAAGUGGAAGUCAAGCACCAGGCCCUGCUAAUAGAGCAAUUCCUGCUCAGAAUGCACCUUGGAUCCGUGUUACCCUUUUCCUGGCAGUAGCCCAAUUGGGGGAAUGGGUUAGCUCCUCAGCCACACUGCCCAGCUGCCUUGGCAAACAUUGAUGGGAACCCAGGAUGGGCCAGGAUGCUGGGGAAGCUCUGAAGUAACCUCAGGUUUUCUUGAUCUGGGAGGCAGAAAGGCAGACAGCUGCGUGGACAAAGGAAGCAAAGCUGAGGGGAGAGAGCGCACUCAGCUCUCUGCCGGGGAGUGCACAGAACCCAGGGACCUGGCCAGACAUGGAGAGGAUGCCUGAGUGGGCAAAGGAGGCACUGAGCCAUUGGAAGUUGAUCAAGGACCCAGAGGCAGAGGUAUCUGGACAGGGGUCAUUUUCGUGCCCUCCAAUCCCAGCAUCAACCAGAACGUGUGUGGACCGUCCAAACGC
rnacentral:lncRNA from 1 species